rnacentral:lncRNA from 1 species
AGUCACUUUUCAAUUUUUUCUCUCAGUUUGUCAUUAAUUACUAUAUAAACAAACUGAAUAUCAGUCUGUCUGAACUACUGAAUAUGCUUAAAACAGCAAAGAGCCAUUUUAAAAGUGAAAAUGCUUCAGUUCUUCUUACUGUUAAGAUCAAUAAGAAGAAAGGCAAGAAGGGUUUCAAGAAAAAAUUAAACCCUAAGGC